GCUUGUAACUCUUGUCUGGUAUAAGAUUUUCAGGAUUACUUUAUGCCAGGACUUCCUAUAAUAGGAACUCUCAGGCUACCAAGAUUUGUUCUUCAAUGUUGGCACUUGGGAUCUUCUUAUAGAAGAUUUGGUAGACUUCUUGCUUGGGGAUCAAGUGUCUUGAUGUUAAAGUAACUUAUCGAUGAAGUAGCUUGCUGGU
rnacentral:lncRNA from 1 species